CACAGCACUAGGAGCUGUUGUGAAAUGAUAACCAUGAUGGCUCACAUUAUUGGACCUUACUCUUUUCUGGCUGGGGGCCAGGGCUUUGUGCAUGGCCCCAUUUAAGGGAUGAGAAGCCCUUAGCGUAGUGCCCAGUGGAAUAAGUACUUGAUACUUGGUAGCUAUUACUAUCAAUCUUCAGAAUGACCCUCUGAGGUAGGUACUAUGUUGUUCUCAUUUCUCAGGUGAGGAAGCUGAGGCUUAGAGAGGUUAAUCCACUUGCUGGAAAUCACACAGCAAGUCAGGAGCAGAACCAGUAUUUGAACCCAAUUGGUUUUAAGUAGCAAAUGGUUUUCAGGUGCUCUUCUCUCCCUCCCCACAAUCUGGAGGCUAUGAACCCCAAGGCUUUACUUUACAUAGUUGUAGGGUCACUGAGCAGUGGGUUCUUCGCAUUCAUCCCUCCAAUGGUAUAUGCUAGUGGGCUCUGCUCGGGGACCAGUUCAUCCAACCCAUCCCUCCCCUCCCCUUCUCCAAUGAGAGAACUGGGGAGGGCAGUGACUAUGCAACGUGACAGGCUGAAUGGGAAGAUGCCUCCUCAUCAAAGCAUAAGGAACAAAGAGGCAGGGGAGUGGGGCUGGAGCCCAUCCCUCCUGCUCCCAUCAAACAUGCUGAUACCAAAUAGCAGGCAUCCUCACGCUAGAAUACCUGGCUUUCAUUUGCCAGGCUGGCCCUACAAUCUGGCUACUUGGUGGUGGUCACUUCUGGUCCUCAGUGUCCGGCAGGGUGCGUGAUAUACCUCGUGAGUGAGUGCUGAAUCCCCAGGACAUGAUGAAGAACUGAGCCAGUGGUCAGGUUCAUGCCCCAGGACCAGUGACCAGCAGCCGCCUAGGAACUUCUUAGAAAUGCAAAUUCUCUGUCCAGCAGUCUGGGUUGGAGCCAUGGGAUUCUGGUGCACACUAAAGUUUGAGAACCACCGUUCUGCCAGUGUACACAUUGGCAAAGGGCAACUUGGGCCGCAUAAGAGGAACCAAGGGAUGCGCAAAGCCACGUCUCCAAACGCAGCAAACAGCAGCCCUUCUCUAAGGAGGGGCCCUGUCUCCCCUGACCCCGACCCCGGCCCACGCAUGCUGUUUGGCGGGCUGGCCACUGGAGGGCAGUGCGACCACGUCCCCCGCGCCCCUGCAAAGGCCUCAGGCGGGAGCAGCUCUCGGAGGCCCGCCCGGGAAGCCCGCUGCGGCGGCUUCAGCCGGGAGCGGAGGAACGGAAAGGGGGCUCGUCCCGGGCAGUGGCCUCGGCCUUCGGGUCCCAGACGUUCCUAGAAGCUACAGCGGCUCGGCCGGCGGCACGACGGUCCCGGCUUCGCCGAGGAGGCCUCCCUUCCUCGCGCGGCCAGGGCCGGCCCGGCGGGGAGGGUGGCUGCCCUGGGUCUGGAAGAGCAGAAAGCCGGCGGCGGUGGGAGUGGCCGUCAGGUGUGCGUCAGGCGGCCGUGUCGGGACCCGAGACGCGCUAGAUCCAAGGGCAGGAGCUCCGCCACAGGUCGCACCAGGCUCCCAGCCAAGGAAGGCGCAAGGGCUGGAGGUCGAGAGCUGAAUCUAAGCGCCAAGUCCUUUGGUCUCUCUCCACCGUGAGGGCUUUACAUGCCAUUCCGAAGGCCGCUGGAGGGGCCACAGGACCUCAGCUUCUAGAAUAUUCUUAAUAUUGUCAUUCUUUCAAGGUCCAGUUUAAAUACCCACUCCGGCGGGAAGCCUUCCUCAGUGUCCAGCAGAAGCUGCCUCCCCACCCCCUGCCCGUCUGCAGUACCCUUAGCCUCUGCUGUAGGGCUCUCCGCCUUUCCUCCCUGCGUCCGCCCCCGCCCCCGCUGAACUGUGGGCACCCCAAGGGGAGGGGGCAUGUGGUGGUGGUCUUUGUGCCUCCCGAGGGGCCUCACAUAUGUAGGUCGUUCA